rnacentral:rRNA from 1 species
UACGUAGGGUGCAGGCGUUAAUCGGAAUUACUGGGCGUAAAGCGUGCGCAGGCGGUUUUGUAAGUCUGUUGUGAAAUCCCCGGGCUUAACCUGGGAAUGGCAAUGGAGACUGCAAGGCUAGAGUUUGGCAGAGGGGGGUAGAAUUCCACGUGUAGCAGUGAAAUGCGUAGAGAUGUGGAGGAACACCGAUGGCGAAGGCAGCCCCCUGGGUCAAGACUGACGCUCAUGCACGAAAGCGUGGGGAGCAAACAGG